UGAGGAAUAUUGGUCAAUGGGCUUACGCCUGAACCAGCCAAGUCGCGUGAGGGAAGACUGCCCUAUGGGUUGUAAACCUCUUUUGUCAGGGAGCAAUCGGCGCUACGUGUAGCGUUAUCGAGAGUACCUGAAGAAAAAGCAUCGGCUAACUCCGUGCC
rnacentral:rRNA from 1 species